rnacentral:rRNA from 1 species
GCCCUUAGAGUUUGAUAUGGCUCAGCGCGAACGCUGGCGGCGUGCCUAACACAUGCAAGUCGUGCGCAGGCUCGUCCUCUGGGACGGGUGCUGAGCGGCAAACGGCUGAGUAACACGUGAGUAACCUGCCCCGGGAAGGGGAUAACCCUCCGAAAGGGGGGCUAAUACCCUAUAAUGCCUGGGGCCAUAAGGUCACCAGGCCAAAGGGGGCCUCUGCCUCUGGCAUGCUCCCGCCCGGGGAAGGCUCGCGGCCCAUCAGGUAGUUGGUGGGGUAACGGCCUACCAAGCCUAUGACGGGUAGCCGCCUGAGAGGGUGUCCGGCCAGAGUGGGACUGAGACACGGCCCACACCCCUACGGGGGGAGCAGUGGGGAAUCGUGGGCAAUGGGCGAAAGCCUGACCCCGCGACGCCGCGUGGGGGAGAAGCCCUUCGGGGUGUAAACCCCUGUCGGGGGGGAAGAUGCGGACCGGGACGAAUAGUUCGGUUCGUGACGGUACCCCCAGAGGAAGGGACGGCUAACUACGUGCCAGCAGCCGCGGAAUACGUAGGUCCCGAGCGUUGCGCGAACUUACUGGGCGUAAAGCGUCCGCAGCCGGAUGGUAAGCGGUGCGUCAAAGCCCACCGCUCAACGGUGGAAAGGCGCUCCGAACUGCCCAUUUGAGGCACGCCCAGGCAGGCGGAAUUCCCGGUGUAGCGGUGAAAUGCGUAGAUAUCGGAGGAACACCGAAGGCGAAGGCAGCCUGCUGGGGCUGUCCUGACGGUCAGGGACGAAAGCGGGGGAGCAAACCGGAUUAGAUACCCGGGUAGUCCCAGCCGUAAACCAUGGGCGCUAGAGUCGUCCGAAAAGGGCGGUCUCUCAGCUAACGCGUUAAGCGCCCCGCCUGGGGAGUACGGCGCAAGCCUGAAACUCAAAUGAAUUGACGGGG